rnacentral:sRNA from 1 species
ACUUAAACUCCACAACUUCACGAUCACGAAUCACGAUUACAUAA